rnacentral:rRNA from 1 species
AUGGGUGAUGCGGAGUCCGUGGAUGAUUUCGCGGCGAGGUUCACGACGCUCGUGGGGCGCAUCCGUGAGCUUGGUGAUGCGAUGGAGGAGAAAUAUGUCGUGAAGAAGCUUCUCCGAGCCGUCUCCAACAAGUUCAUCCACGUUGCGUCAUCGAUUGCAUUGUUCGGCGACACCAACAAGAUGGCCAUGGAGGAGGCCAUUGGUUCACUCAAGGCGCAUGAGGAGCUCGUCAAGGGGCGGGAGACGACACAUAAAGAAGAGCAGCUCCUCAUGGCGAGAGGGCAUGACUCAUCGCGAGGACGCGGCCGCGGUGGCCGUGGUGGAGGGCGCAGAGACAAGAGCGAGGUACAAUGUUAUAACUGUGAUGACUUUGGACAUUUUGCUUGGGAGUGUCCGGAGAAGAAGAAGGAGAACGAGGAGAAGGCACUGCUGGCCGGCUACGGCAGCGACGGACCGGCUCUCCUAUGA